ensembl:lncRNA
UUACAAAUUACUUUGAACUUUAUUGAUACACUGCACAAUCACAACCAUCUCGUGUUCAUCCUGAAUUAGAAAAGGUUACAACUACAAUGUAACAUGCACAAAAUUCAGGUAGUAUUUUCACCCUUAAUACAAUUAUUGACAGAAAUCAAGUCUUCAUUGAUUUUUGAAGGAAAAAAUUAAGAAAGAAAAUAGAAGGGGAGGGGGAAAAAAAAAAAAAAACAACCUCUAGAAGGCUGACAAAGUUAUAUUCUUGUAUCAUGUGAUAAAAUUUUAAAGCAUUUGAACACAGAUCUGUUUUCAGGAUAAUUGUGAGAAUGGGCACACCCAUUGUCUGACACAGCUAGGACGGCACCAUUGAUAAUUCAUAAGUUUUUUUAAUCUAGAGGACUCUGAACUUGACAGAUACAUUUUCAUACACCCACACGUUCCUCACAAUUGCACUUUACAUGUCACAAAAGAUUCUGAAUGAUUAAAAAUGCUCCCUUUAACUAACACAAAGGCAGCUAGGAUUACUUAUCAUUGCUAUGAUUGAUAUCAUUUUAAAGUGGCCAAUAGUGUAGAAUGUGGCCCCCCCCAAAAAAGAGUAGAGGGUUCAUCAUCUUUCUUUCCGCACUCAGCAUCAUGGAACAACAAAAACAACCCUGUGCUUUAAAAGGACACCGUGGAAAGAAACAAAAUGGAAUGUCUUUUAAAACACGGGAAAUUAGACUUCACUGGCUACUUGCAGGCUGAAGACAACUGUGUCUAAUUGAGUCCACUCCACAGCUCUGUGGACCGCCGGUGUUCUGCACCUGAAGGCUAAAUUGCUUGGUUCAGCUCUAUCUUCUCGCCGCGUCUUUUAAUUGCAUAUCUAUCUCUUCCUUCUUUCAUUUACUUCUCUUCUCUCAAGAAAUGAGGGAAAUGAGACCAGCAUUUUUAUUUGUUGGGUGUUAGUGAUCAUUAGGAGUUCUCAUCACAUGGUGUCUUUCUGAGAACGUUGCCUUCAUAGCUACACACCUGUGAAGUUUUCCUGAAAUUGCUCCAACUUACUCGUCUUAAAAUAAAAAGACAGGGAAGCUUGGGCGAGUAGGAGGUCAGGCAAUCGGGUGUAAAUUUCUAGGAAUAGGGCUCAUGCAAAAUGAAUGUGAAUGAUCCUCAUUUUUGGAGAAAAAGAGAAAAAAAUGAAUAUUGCCAAUGGGAAACAUUCUACAUCACUUCCCCUACUUCCUCUAAUUCCAACGAGAUUAAAAAAUUUUUUUUCAAUUAUUUGGGGUUUUUUGGUGGGGGGAAGGAGGGCUGGUUCCAGGUAUCGCAAAGCCAGUUUUUCUCUGGUGAGGACUCAGGGUCAAAUUGGGAAAGGUGACAUGGCCCCAUCCCUCACCCCACUCCUCCAUCCUGCUGAUGACAUCCAUACCCUACCAGGGAGGAGAA